rnacentral:tRNA from 1 species
GGAGUGAUGCUCGAGUGGCUGAAGAGGCACGCCUGGAAAGCGUGUGUGCGCCAAAAGCGUACCGCGAGUUCGAAUCUCGCUCACUCCG